GACGUAGGGGGCCAGCGUUGCUCGGAAUUACUGGGCGUAAAGGGUUCGUAGGCGGUGCGGAAAGUCGGAAGUGAAAUCUCUGGGCUCAACCCAGAGGCUGCUCCCGAAACUUCCGUGCUUGAGUGUGGGAGAGGCCAGUGGAAUUGCAGGUGUAGCGGUGAAAUGCGUAGAUAUCUGCAGGAACACCCGUGGCGAAGGCGGCUGGCUGGACCACAACUGACGCUGAGGAACGAAAGCUAGGGGAGCAAACAGG
rnacentral:rRNA from 1 species